rnacentral:tRNA from 1 species
GGGCGGUUAGCUCAGUGGUAGAGCACUGUGUUCACAUCGCAGGGGUCACAGGUUCAAAUCCUGUACCGCCCACCA